rnacentral:rRNA from 1 species
GAGAUAGCUGGUUCUCCCCGAAAUGUAUUUAGGUACAGCCUCAAUCGUAGUCUUAAGGAGGUAGGGCACUGGAUGGGAUAGGGGGCGUAAGCUUACCAAACCUAACCAAACCACGAAUGCCUUAAGAUGUUCAUUGGGAGUGAGACAGUGGGGGAUAAGCUUCAUUGUCGAAAGGGAAACAGCCCAGACCGCAGGUUAAGGCCCCUAAAUGUGAACUAAGUGUGAAAGGAAGUAAGAUUCCUAAAACAGCUAGGAGGUUGGCUUAGAAGCAGCCAUCCUUUGAAGAGUGCGUAACUGCUCACUAGUCGAGGAAUCUUGCGCCGAAAAUGUAACGGGGCUAAGUUCACUGCCGAAACCGCGGAUCUAAUAAUUUAUUAUUAGGUGGUAGGGGAGCGUUGUUAUCAGCAUAGAAGCUCAAAUGUGAGUUUGAGUGGAGCAAUGACAAGUGAGAAUGGCGGCAUGAGUAGCGACAAUCCUGGUGAGAAUCCAGGACACCGAAAGCACCAAGGUUUCCUACACAACGCUGAUCGAUGUAGGGUAAGUCGGGCCUAAGCCGUAGCGUGCAAGCGAAGGCGAUGGACAACGGGUUAAUAUUCCCGUACUGCUACUAUUUUGUUAUAAAGUAAAGGGGGGACACGGAAAGGUAAACGAAGCGUGCCUAUUGGACAUGGUACGUUCUAUCCCGUAGGCCAAGCUAUAAUAGGCAAAUCCGUUAUAGCGUUACGAGCUGAGAGGAUGGAGAACUUUCGGGCUUCGGCCCUAGGGAACUUCGUUGAUCCUAUACCGUCGAGAAAAGCCUCGUUACAAGAAAUAGAAGCAUCCGUACCGCAAACCGACACAGGUAGGCUGGGGUAAGUGUCCCAAGGUGAACGAGAUAACCCUCCUUAAGGAAUUCGACAAAUUAGCCCUGUAACUUUGGGAGAAAGGGUGCCCAUGAGGUGAAAUCCACUUGCUGGAUGGAGGCCUUUGUGGGUCGCAGCAAAGAGGCUCAGGCGACUGUUUAUCAAAAACACAGGUGUCUGCUAAACCGAAAGGUGAUGUAUAGGCGCUGACGCCUGCCCAGUGCCGGAAGGUUAAGGGAAUGGGUUCGUUAAAUUCGUUUAACAAAGCUCAGAACCGAAGCCCCGGUGAACGGCGGCCGUAACUAUAACGGUCCUAAGGUAGCGAAGUCCCUUGUCGGGUAAGUUCCGACCUGCACGAAUGGCGUCACGACCUGAGCGUUGUCUCAAGGGGGGACUCGGUGAAAUUGCAAGGCCAGUGAAGAUGCUGGCUACCCGCAACAGGACAAAAAGACCCCGUGGAGCUUUACUGCAACUUGACAGUGGAUUGUGGUUAUAUAUGUGUAGGAUAGGCGGGAGACUUUGAAGCUAUCACGCCAGUGAUAGUGGAGUCAACCUUGAAAUACCGCUCUUCUAUGACCUAUGUCCUAACCCCUUUGAAAUAGGGGGAC